UACGGAGGGUGCAAGCGUUAUCCGGAUUCACUGGGUUUAAAGGGUGCGUAGGUGGGUUGGUAAGUCCGUGGUGAAAUCUCCGAGCUUAACUCGGAAACUGCCGUGGAUACUAUCAAUCUUGAAUACUGUGGAGGUAAGCGGAAUAUGUCAUGUAGCGGUGAAAUGCUUAGAUAUGACAUAGAACACCGAUAGCGGAGGCAGCUUGCUACACAGUCAUUGACACUGAGGCACGAAAGCGUGGGGAUCGAAACAGG
rnacentral:rRNA from 1 species